rnacentral:rRNA from 1 species
UACAGAGGUGGCAAGCGUUGUUCGGAAUUACUGGGCGUAAAGGGCGCGUAGGCGGCCUACUAAGUCAGACGUGAAAUCCCCCGGCUUAACCUGGGAACUGCGUCUGAUACUGGAAGGCUUGGGUAUGGAGAGGGAUGUAGAAUUCCAGGUGUAGCGGUGAAAUGCGUAGAUAUCUGGAGGAAUACCGGUGGCGAAGGCGGCAUCCUGGACCAUUACUGACGCUGAGGCGCGAAAGCUAGGGGAGCAAACGGG